AGGAUCGUCGGGUUAGCAAUAAUUCGGCGGUUCGAGUGGCGCACGGGUGAGUAACACGUGGGUAACCCACCCUUGAGACCGGGAUACCCUCUCGAAAGGGAGGCUAAUACUGGAUACGUUCCCUGGGACGCAAGAUCUGGGGAGGAAAGGCGGCGAAAGCUGCCGCUCUUGGAGGGGCUCGCGGCCUAUCAGCUAGUUGGUGAGGUAACGGCUCACCAAGGCUAUGACGGGUAGCUGGUCUGAUAGGACGACCAGCCACACGGGAACUGAGACACGGUCCCGACUCCUACGGGAGGCAGCAGUGGGGAAUUUUCCGCAAUGGGCGAAAGCCUGACGGAGUGACGCCGCGUGGGGGACGAAGGCCUUCGGGUCGUAAACCCCUGUCAGAGGGAAAGAAGGGUGUCGGCGUGAAUAGCGCCGGCAUUUGACGGUACCUUCAGAGGAAGCCCCGGCCAACUCUGUGCCAGCAGCCGCGGUAAGACAGAGGGGGCAAGCGUUGCUCGGAAUCACUGGGCGUAAAGGGCGCGUAGGCGGGAUGGCAAGUCGGUCGUGAAAUCCUUCGGCUCAACCGAAGAACGUCGGCCGAUACUGCCGUUCUUGAGGGAUGCAGAGGAGAUUGGAAUUCCCGGUGUAGCGGUGAAAUGUGUAGAGAUCGGGAGGAACACCGGUGGCGAAGGCGGGUCUCUGGGCAUCUCCUGACGCUGAGGCGCGAAAGCGUGGGGAGCAAACGGGAUUAGAUACCCCGGUAGUCCACGCUGUAAACGAUGACGACUAGGUGUGGGGGGGGGUUAGUCCUUUCCC
rnacentral:rRNA from 1 species